AAGACUCAACUACUAGCAAUUCCUCAUCCUACCAACCUAAGGAGGCUUUCACAAGACGACAUUGACUAUAGAAGGGGGGCUGAUACCUCGAGGUGUUGCGACAGCACUAGCUAGCCCUAAGGAAUGAUUCGGGGUUCACUAGGCCUCCAUUCUCGAUGAGGAUUAUGGAGGAACCUAUUCCUCCUCAAGAUGCCACAACUUGAGACUUAUAAUGCCACCACCAAUCCCUACAACCAUCUAGAGAGCUACAAAGCUCUUAUAAUGCUCCAGGAGGCCACCAACUUGGUGAUAUGCAAAGUCUUCCCUAUCACCAUUCAGAAGGCUACUUGAAUG
rnacentral:lncRNA from 1 species